rnacentral:rRNA from 1 species
AUAUGUGAUCGUCUCUCGCAUAUCAAUAAGCGGAGGAAAAGAAACUAACAAGGAUUCCCCUAGUAACGGCGAGUGAAGCGGGAAGAGCUCAAAUUUGGAAUCUUAAAGGGUUUCCCUUUACGAAUUGUAGUUUAAAGAAGUGUUUUCUGUUGAGGUUUUGGUAAAAGUUCUUUGGAAUAGGACAUCAUAGAGGGUGAGAAUCCCGUAUUUGACCUUUACUUUCAACUUUGUGAUACACUUUCAAAGAGUCGGAUUGUUUGGGAAUGCAGUCCAAAAUGGGUGGUAAAUUUCAUCUAAAGCUAAAUAUUGGCGAGAGACCGAUAGCGAACAAGUACCGUGAGGGAAAGAUGAAAAGAACUUUGAAAAGAGAGUUAAACAGUACGUGAAAUUGUCAAAAGGGAAGCGUUUGAUACCAGUGUUGUUUUUCUGAAAAUCAAUUAAAGAACUGUUUAUGCUAAGUUGUUUAGACUUUAUCAGCUAAUCUGUUUAGUUUUGAGCUUUUCUUUAAUGCACUUUUCAGUUAACAAGUCAACAUCAAUUUCUUUUGCUGUAAAAAAGCUUGAGGAAGGUGGCUUGAGAUUCGUCUUAAGUGUUUAUAGCCUCUUGCCUAUGCAGUCGGAGAGAUUGAGGUCUGCAGCGUAGAUCCUUCGGGGCUAAAUGCAUUUGUGCUAAGUUAUAGCAUUUUAUAGACAACUUGUUGACUAUGAUUUGUCUUGUAGCUUACUCGCUUAUGUUAUUUUACCUACGCUUAGGAUGUUGAAGACUCUACAGAGAUA